rnacentral:lncRNA from 7 species
GCAGUGCGGAGCAGCGCCCGAAGGCUACGCCGGGACAUAUAGGACGAUGAGCUUUGUAUGGGCGUCACUCUUCUUCCUUCACUUUGCAUUGGGAAAUACUGAGAGAAGAGAAGAGGAAAUGAAAAAGUUUUUGUACGACUACGCAUCCCACUACAGUGAUUACUUAUAUGCGACUGAAGAGUACUAUAUUGACAACACCACACUAAUACCCACCAUGUACACGAUGUACACGUAUUAUGAAGGAGUUUCUGGACUCAGUGGCAUUACCCCUGCAGUGCCAUCUGCCUCUGCUCCUCCUCCUCAGCCUCCUGCACCUCCUGCUAUGAUGCACCAAAGCAUCAGCGCUCCGAAGCACCUUUCCACAACCAUCAGACCUCUGGGCAUCCAGCUCUGUGCUAACGACAGCCAAAGAAGCAUGAAUCACCGCAGGAGCUGCGGAAAAAUUAAGCCAAAGGGACUUUUAGGGUGUUUACCCAUCCAUCCAACUCUCUGCUUGCAGCCUCCAGCAUGGGGAACUCCACGCUCCCGGUGCCCAAACCCUGUUGGCACCCAGACAGAUGGCUUAGACGAAGAAAAGAAUACCGUCACCGCAUUGGAAGUUACAUCCUCUGCACGAAGCAGUCAUCUCUGUUUUUAGUACAGCUGUGAUUUUAUACACAGAUUUUUCAGCAGAUGGAUGCCAUCCCAGGCCAUAAAAGCUGUGCAAACACUGAGGAGCUUUGUAAUGACUAGGUUCUUUCCUACUUCCUAUUAUUCUAUUGUAAAUAUGAACUCCUGCCAAUAAAGUGACUUAACAAU